rnacentral:rRNA from 1 species
CCUACGGGUGGCUGCAGGCGAGAAUCAUUCACAAUGGGGGAAACCCUGAUGGGGCGACGCCGCGUGGGGGAAUGAAGGGCUGCGGAGUGUAAACCCCUGGCAUGUGGGAGCAAAUUAAAAAGAGAGUACCACAAGAGGAAGAGACGGCGAACUCUGUGCCAGCAGCCGCGGUAAUACAGAGGGCACAAGCGUUGUUAGGAAUAACUGGGCGUAAAGAGUGCGUAGGCUGUUUCGUAAGUCGUGUGUGAAAGGCGCGGGCUCAACCCGCGGACGGCACAUGAUACGGCGAGCCUAGAGUAAUGGCGGGGGAACCGGACUUCUCGGUGUAGCCGUGACAUGCGUAGAUCUCGCGAGG